rfam:Gossypium raimondii Chr05_contig_28, whole genome shotgun sequence.
UGUUAAAAAUUUCAUUCACUUGUAUUAUUAAAAGUUGGUGUGGUUAUUGAAAUAACUCGAUAGUGAUAUGUGGCAUACUGUGUGUACAUCAUAUUGACGUAUAGGAAUCAAUUUUUAAUAGUAGAAAUGAAUAAAUUUUUUAAUA